rnacentral:rRNA from 1 species
GAUGAACGCUGGCGGCGUGCCUAAUACAUGCAAGUAGAACGCUGAAGCUUGGUGCUUGCACCGAGCGGAUGAGUUGCGAACGGGUGAGUAACGCGUAGGUAACCUGCCUGGUAGCGGGGGAUAACUAUUGGAAACGAUAGCUAAUACCGCAUAACAGUAGAUAUUGCAUGAUAUCUGCUUGAAAGGUGCAAAUGCAUCACUACCAGAUGGACCUGCGUUGUAUUAGCUAGUUGGUGAGGUAACGGCUCACCAAGGCGACGAUACAUAGCCGACCUGAGAGGGUGAUCGGCCACACUGGGACUGAGACACGGCCCAGACUCCUACGGGAGGCAGCAGUAGGGAAUCUUCGGCAAUGGGGGGAACCCUGACCGAGCAACGCCGCGUGAGUGAAGAAGGUUUUCGGAUCGUAAAGCUCUGUUGUAAGAGAAGAACGAGUGUGAGAGUGGAAAGUUCACACUGUGACGGUAUCUUACCAGAAAGGGACGGCUAACUACGU